rnacentral:pre_miRNA from 1 species
CGUGUACUCCCUCCGUCCGAAAAAGCUUGUCCCUCAAAUGGAUGUAUCUAGCACCAAGUUAGCGCUAGAUACAUCCAUUUGAGGGACAAGAUUGGGACAAGCUUUUUCGGACGGAGGGAGUAGUAU